UACGGAGGGUGCGAGCGUUGUCCGGAAUCACUGGGCGUAAAGCGUGCGCAGGCGGUUCGUUGUGUCGGCGGUGAAAGCCCUGGGCUCAACCUGGGAACUGCAGUGGAUACUGGCGGACUAGAGUGUGAUAGAGGAUGGUGGAAUUCCCGGUGUAGCGGUGAAAUGCGUAGAGAUCGGGAGGAACACCAGUGGCGAAGGCGGCCAUCUGGAUCAACACUGACGCUGAGGCACGAAAGCGUGGGGAGCAAACAGG
rnacentral:rRNA from 1 species